rnacentral:rRNA from 1 species
GCUGUUCGCCCAUUAAAGCGGUACGCGAGCUGGGUUCAGAACGUCGUGAGACAGUUCGGUCCCUAUCUGUCGUGGGCGUAGGAAAUUUGAGAGGAGCUGUCCUUAGUACGAGAGGACCGGGAUGGACGUACCGCUGGUGUACCAGUUGUUCCGCCAGGAGCACCGCUGGGUAGCUAUGUACGGAAGGGAUAAGCGCUGAAAGCAUCUAAGCGUGAAGCCCCCCUCAAGAUGAGAUUUCCCAAUUAGUAAGACCCCUUGAAGACGACGAGGUAGAUAGGUUGGGGGUGGAAGUGCAGUAAUGCAUGGAGCUGACCAAUACUAAUCGGUCGAGGGCUUAUCCUAA